ACUGCCUUAUAAGGACGAGUAGGUGGUUCCCUGCCUUUGGACACCUACGAACUGGAGGCCAAGAAACAUGGACUUGGAGAAAACUGAGGCCAGUUUGCUCCCUGCAGGCUCAAGAGCAACCAUUGUACACAG